GACGAACGCUGGCGGCGUGCUUAACACAUGCAAGUCGAACGGAAAGGCCCUGCUUUUGUGGGGUGCUCGAGUGGCGAACGGGUGAGUAACACGUGAGUAACCUGCCCUUGACUUUGGGAUAACUUCAGGAAACUGGGGCUAAUACCGGAUAGGAGCUCCUGCUGCAUGGUGGGGGUUGGAAAGUUUCGGCGGUUGGGGAUGGACUCGCGGCUUAUCGGCUUGUUGGUGGGGUAGUGGCUUACCAAGGCUUUGACGGGUAGCCGGCCUGAGAGGGUGACCGGCCACAUUGGGACUGAGAGACGGCCCAGACUCCUACGGGAGGCAGCAGUGGGGAAUAUUGCACAAUGGGCGGAAGCCUGAUGCAGCAACGCCGCGUGCGGGAUGACGGCCUUCGGGUUGUAAACCGCUUUCGCCUGUGACGAAGCGUGAGUGACGGUAAUGGGUGAAGAAGCACCGGCUAACUACGUG
rnacentral:rRNA from 1 species